UAUAUUUUUUAAUUUGUCAGUUCAUAUAUUUGCUUUGAUGAUGCUGGUUUUCCUUUAGUUUCCACUAGCCAGUGACGAGACAGUGUUGGAAGAAGGUGAUAUAUUGAAAAUUGAUUUGGCUUGUCAUAUAGAUGGUUUCAUCGCGGCUGUGGCUCACACUCAUGUUCUUCAGGAAGGUCCUGUCACAAGAAGGGCAGCUGAUGUUAUUGCUACUGCAAAUGCUGCUGCUGAGGUGGCCUUGAGGCUUGUUAGGCCGGGAAAAA